rnacentral:rRNA from 1 species
UGGGGAAUAUUGGACAAUGGGGGCAACCCUGAUCCAGCACUGCCGCGUGUGUGAAGAAGGCCUUCGGGUUGUAAAGCCCUUUUCUCGGUGAGGAUGAUGACGGUAGCCGAGGAAUAAGCAACGGCUAACUCCGUGCCAGCAGCCGCGGUAAGACGGAGGGUGCUAGCGUUGUUCGGAAUUACUGGGCGUAAAGGGCGCGUAGGCGGCCUGUUAAGUUGGAUGUGAAAGCCCGGGGCUCAACCUCGGAAUGGCAUCCGAUACUGGCGGGCUCGAGACCGGGAGAGGAGGGUGGAAUACCCAGUGUAGAGGUGAAAUUCGUAGAUAUUGGGUUGAACACCGGUGGCGAAAGCGGCUCUCUGGCCCGGUUCUGACGCUGAGGCGCGAAAGCGUGGGGAGCAAACAGGAUUAGAUACCCCCGUAGUCC